ensembl:lncRNA
GUGCUCCCUAAAAAUAGAACUUUUCAUCUAUGCGCUUCAGUUGAAAGCUACUGAGGACUGGACACAGUGGUUAGUCUUGGGACCAGUGCUAUUCAACAUCUUCAUCGCUGACACAGACGAUGGCAUCGAGUGCAUCCUCAGCAAGUUUGCAGAUGGACCUGGACAGGCUGGAGAACUGGGCCCAUGUGAAACUAAUGAAGUUCAACAAGGCCAAGUGCAAGAAAGAUGUGGAACUCUUGGAAUGGCUCCAGAGGAUGGCCUCUAAGAUGAUCAAAGGGCUGGAGCACCUCUCCUGUGAGGAAAGGUUGAGGGAACAGGGCUUGUUUAGCUUGGAGAAGAGAAGGCUCCAGAAUGACCUCACUGUGGCUUUCCAAUAUUUGAAGGGAGUGUGUAAACAGAAAGGGGAGCGACUGUUUAUGAGUUGAUACUGAUAGGACAAGGGGGAACGGUUUUAAAACUGAGACAGGGGAGGUAAAGGUUAGAUAUUAGAAGGAAGUUUUUCACACAGAGGGUGGUGUCACACUGGAACACGUUGCCCAAGGAGGUUGUCAAUGCCCCAUCCCUGGAGGCAUUCAAGGCCAGGCUGGGUGUGGCUCUAGGCAGCAUGGUCUAGUGGCUGGCAACUUUAAAAUAUGAUGUAGAGUGGCUUGGCAGCCACAUUAACCUAUUCCUUCAGGACCCGGGGAUGCAUGUCAUCUUUCCCCAUACACUUGUAUAAAUUUGGUCUCAUAAGCUGGUCUUGAACUUUCUCUUUGCUUACAGUGGGAUAGAUUUUGCUCCUCCACCUCCUGCCAAAGGGUUCAGGUACAUGAGAGAUGUGGGAAGCCUGAG